GGCGCCGUGGCUUAGUUGGUUAAAGCGCCUGUCUAGUAAACAGGAAAUCGAGGGUUCGAAUCCCUCCGGGGCCU
rnacentral:tRNA from 1 species